CUGGCUCAGAUUGAACGCUGGCGGCAAGGCCUAACACAUGCAAGUCGAACGGUAACAGGAAGAAGCUUGCUCUUGCUGACGAGUGGCGGACGGGUGAGUAAUGUCUGGGGAACUGCCUGAUGGAGGGGGAUAACUACUGGAAACGGUAGCUAAUACCGCAUAACGUCGCAAGACCAAAGAGGGGGACCUUCGGGCCUCUUGCCAUCGGAUGUGCCCAGAUGGGAUUAGCUUGUUGGUGGGGUAACGGCUCACCAAGGCGACGAUCCCUAGCUGGUCUGAGAGGAUGACCAGCCACACUGGAACUGAGACACGGUCCAGACUCCUACGGGAGGCAGCAGUGGGGAAUAUUGCACAAUGGGCGCAAGCCUGAUGCAGCCAUGCCCGCGUGUAUGAAGAAGGCCUUCGGGUUGUAAAGUACUUUCAGCGGGGAGGAAGGGAGUAAAGUUAAUACCUUUGCUCAUUGACGUUACCCGCAGAAGAAGCACCGGCUAACUCCGUGCCAGCCGCCGC
rnacentral:rRNA from 1 species